UAGGAAGAAAAGGUCAAUAUAAACUGGCAAGUGUUUCUUUAGAAUUCUGCUAGAGAAAAGCAUGAUUCUCCAGUAAUUCUGUAAACAUUUAGGGUAAAUCCUUUAAAGAAGUAGUAGCAGUGUUAAGCUGUGAAGUGCAGGAAGUUUAAACUUCCUUCAUUUUCGGGAUUAAAGUUACAAAAUGUAAUUAUUGCUGUGAAAAAGCAAAUAUGCAUUUAUUUGCUUGUGCAUUUUAUAUAUAUAUAAAAAUACAAUAUAUAUAUAAUACACAAGCAAAUAUAUAUUUAUAUAAAAUACACACGCACACAAUAUGAAUGUAUUCUUGAUGCAAAUUCAUCUUGGUGAACUUGUCAAUGUUUGGUUCUCUACCCUUAGUCUUAAAGUUUCUGCUACUUUUGGUGUCUCUUAAAGUCUCUUAAACCUACAGACAUGCUCACGCAUGCACACAUUUGUAUUGAAGUGGUUCAGUAUGGUUUCACAUAAUGUCUGGUGAGGUACUAAAUGACAUCAUGUCUAUUAAUAGUGUGGAAGAGGGUAUAUGUAUCACAGUAUAAAAUC
rnacentral:lncRNA from 1 species